rnacentral:rRNA from 1 species
UACGGGGGGGGCAAGCGUUGUUCGGAAUUACUGGGCGUAAAGGGCCAGUAGGCGGCCAACUAAGUCCGACGUGAAAUCCCAAGGCUUAACCUUGGAACUGCGUCGGAUACUGGAUGGCUUGAAUUCGGGAGAGGGAUGCAGAACUCCAGGUGUAGCGGUGAAAUGCGUAGAUAUCUGGAGGAAUACCGGUGGCGAAGGCGGCAUCCUGGACCGACAUUGACGCUGAACGGCGAAAGCUAGGGGAGCAAACGGG